AGUUUGAUGCUGGCUCUGGACGAACGCUGGCGGCGUGCCUAAUACAUGCAAGUCGAGCGAACCACUUCGGUGGUUAGCGCGGACGGGUGAGUAACACGUGGGCAACCUGCCUGUAAGACUGGGAUAACACCGGGAAACCGGUGCUAAUACCGGAUAAUCCUUUUCCUCUCAUGAGGAAAAGCUGAAAGUCGGUUUCGGCUGACACUUACAGAUGGGCCCGCGGCGCAUUAGCUAGUUGGUGAGGUAACGGCUCACCAAGGCGACGAUGCGUAGCCGACCUGAGAGGGUGAUCGGCCACACUGGGACUGAGACACGGCCCAGACUCCUACGGGAGGCAGCAGUAGGGAAUCUUCCACAAUGGACGAAAGUCUGAUGGAGCAACGCCGCGUGAGCGAUGAAGGCCUUCGGGUCGUAAAGCUCUGUUGUUAGGGAAGAACAAGUACCGGAGUAACUGCCGGUACCUUGACGGUACCUAACCAGAAAGCCACGGCUAACUACGUGCCAGCAGCCGCGGUAAUACGUAGGUGGCAAGCGUUGUCCGGAAUUAUUGGGCGUAAAGCGCGCGCAGGCGGUCCUUUAAGUCUGAUGUGAAAGCCCACGGCUCAACCGUGGAGGGUCAUUGGAAACUGGGGGACUUGAGUGCAGAAGAGGAAAGCGGAAUUCCACGUGUAGCGGUGAAAUGCGUAGAGAUGUG
rnacentral:rRNA from 1 species